AACGCACGAGACCUGCGGACCUGCGGAGGGAUCAUUACCGAGUUAUCCAACUCCCAACCCCUGUGAAUUAUACCUUUAAUUGUUGCUUCGGCGGGACUUCGCGCCCGCCGGGGACCCAAACCUUCUGAAUUUUUUAAUAAGUAUCUUCUGAGUGGUUAAAAAAUGAAUCAAAACUUUCAGCAAUGGAUCUCU
rnacentral:misc_RNA from 1 species